UAUGAACGCUGGCGGCGUGCCUAAUACAUGCAAGUCGAGCGAACAGACGAGGAGCUUGCUCCUCUGACGUUAGCGGCGGACGGGUGAGUAACACGUGGAUAACCUACCUAUAAGACUGGGAUAAAUUCGGGAAACCGGAGCUAAUACCGGAUAAUAUAUUGAACCGCAUGGUUCAAUAGUGAAAGACGGUUUUGCUUUCACUUAUAGAUGGAUCCGCGCCGCAUUAGCUAGUUGGUAAGGUAACGGCUUACCAAGGCAACGAUGCGUAGCCGACCUGAGAGGGUGAUCGGCCACACUGGAACUGAGACACGGUCCAGACUCCUACGGGAGGCAGCAGUAGGGAAUCUUCCGCAAUGGGCGAAAGCCUGACGGAGCAACGCCGCGUGAGUGAUGAAGGUCUUCGGAUCGUAAAACUCUGUUAUUAGGGAAGAACAAAUGUGUAAGUAACUAUGCACGUCUUGACGGUACCUAAUCAGAAAGCCACGGCUAACUACGUG
rnacentral:rRNA from 1 species